UGCGUAGGCGGGCUAAUAAGUCAGUGGUGAAAUCUCUCGGCUCAACCGGGAAACUGCCAUUGAUACUGUUAGUCUUGAGUUCGGUUGAGGUAGGCGGAAUGUGUAAUGUAGCGGUGAAAUGCUUAGGUAUUACACAGAACACCAAUUGCGUAGGCAGCUUACUAGACCGACACUGACGCUGAGGCACGAAAGCGUGGGGAGCGAACAGGAUUAGAUACCCUGGUAGUCC
rnacentral:rRNA from 1 species